CCCAGACUCCUACGGGAGGCAGCAGUGGGGAAUAUUGCACAAUGGGGGAAACCCUGAUGCAGCGACGCCGCGUGAGUGAAGAAGUAUUUCGGUAUGUAAAGCUCUAUCAGCAGGGAAGAAAAUGACGGUACCUGACUAAGAAGCCCCGGCUAACUACGUGCCAGCAGCCGCGGUAAUACGUAGGGGGCAAGCGUUAUCCGGAUUUACUGGGUGUAAAGGGAGCGUAGGUGGCAUGGUAAGCCAGAAGUGAAAACCCGGGGCUCAACCCCGCGGAUUGCUUUUGGAACUAUCAGGCUGGAGUGCUGGAGGGGUAAGCGGAAUUCCUAGCGUAGCGGUGAAAUGCGUAGAUAUUAGGAGGAACACCGGUGGCGAAGGCGGCUUACUGGACAGAAACUGACACUGAGGCUCGAAAGCGUGGGGAGCAAACAGGAUUAGAUACCCUCGUA
rnacentral:rRNA from 1 species